rnacentral:lncRNA from 1 species
AUCUUCGAACGGUCUAGAAUUUUAAUUUUAUAAUUGAUUGAUAUGUAAUAAGAAAAUGGCAAGUGUCAAACAAAUAAUACCAUUAUGGCUUAAUUGUCAAAAGUGUUAUAGUCAUUUGUUCAAUUUAGUCUCCGCAUUUUCAAUUUGGCCAAUUUAGUCAUCUUGUUUAUCUCUAUUAGCUAAUUAAGGAUAUUUCAUCUAAUCUCUGUUAAAAAAUUCAUAAAUUA